UACGGGUUUCACGAAUGUCUGAAAUCGCCAAACCUCGACGCCAUGUGCGCGCAAUGGAGAAGAGCCAUGUUCGAUUGCAAAAGGGGACAGCUGGACAAAAAAUGGGCCAUUCACCAAGAAAGAUACCCAGAACCAAUUCUGCGGUCCUUCAAAAAAGAUGACCUGAGAUGAGAGAUCCGCGGUGCCCAGGCCGAAAUCGCGUGUGUGUGUAUAUAUAUAUAAAGCCGCACCUUUUUCUCUUUGGA